rnacentral:rRNA from 2 species
UGAGUGAAGAAGGGUUUCGGCUCGUAAAACUCUGUUGUUAAAGAAGAACAUAUCUGAGAGUAACUGUUCAGGUAUUGACGGUAUUUAACCAGAAAGCCACGGCUAACUACGUGCCAGCAGCCGCGGUAAUACGUAGGUGGCAAGCGUUGUCCGGAUUUAUUGGGCGUAAAGCGAGCGCAGGCGGUUUUUUAAGUCUGAUGUGAAAGCCUUCGGCUCAACCGAAGAAGUGCAUCGGAAACUGGGAAACUUGAGUGCAGAAGAGGACAGUGGAACUCCAUGUGUAGCGGUGAAAUGCGUAGAUAUAUGGAAGAACACCAGUGGCGAAGGCGGCUGUCUGGUCUGUAACUGACGCUGAGGCUCGAAAGUAUGGGUAGCAAACAGGAUUAGAUACCCUGGUAGUCCAUACCGUAAACGAUGAAUGCUAAGUGUUGGAGGGUUUCCGCCCUUCAGUGCUGCAGCUAACGCAUUAAGCAUUCCGCCUGGGGAGUACGGCCGCAAGGCUGAAACUCAAAGGAAUUGACGGGGGCCCGCACAAGCGGUGGAGCAUGUGGUUUAAUUCGAAGCUACGCGAAGAACCUUACCAGGUCUUGACAUACUAUGCAAAUCUAAGAGAUUAGACGUUCCCUUCGGGGACAUGGAUACAGGUGGUGCAUGGUUGUCGUCAGCUCGUGUCGUGAGAUGUUGGGUUAAGUCCCGCAACGAGCGCAACCCUUAUUAUCAGUUGCCAGCAUUAAGUUGGGCACUCUGGUGAGACUGCCGGUGACAAACCGGAGGAAGGUGGGGAUGACGUCAAAUCAUCAUGCCCCUUAUGACCUGGGCUACACACGUGCUACAAUGGAUGGUACAACGAGUUGCGAACUCGCGAGAGUAAGCUAAUCUCUUAAAGCCAUUCUCAGUUCGGAUUGUAGGCUGCAACUCGCCUACAUGAAGUCGGAAUCGCUAGUAAUCGCGGAUCAGCAUGCCGCGGUGAAUACGUUCCCGGGCCUUGUACACACCGCCCGUCACACCAUGAGAGUUUGUAACACCCAAAGUCGGUGGGGUAACCUUUUAGGAACCAGCCGCCUAAG